rnacentral:sRNA from 1 species
GCACAUGUACAUUUAACGGCUUUGCGCUAAGCCAUAUCAUAUCUAUAUACUGCUUGUGUUAUUUAAUUGGCGAUAUAUAUGUACAUAUGCUAGCGAUAUACAACUCCAAUAUCAUGUUGUUUUCAACUUUUGAAUACAAUUAUAUUUUACCAUUUAUUAGGGGCUGCUCCCAGAGCUCGACUACAGUGUACCAUUCCAGAGUGAGAAGUUUUGUUUCAUUGUGUUGAUGUUAGCCGAAGAUAUGACUUUCAUGGGGUAUCAAGCAUAUAGGGCUAAGAAAUUCAGUGAAACACAUCUGUUGCAACUAUAACAAUCGAAAUGUGUGAAAACUUUUCAGACAAUUGUGAAACUGUGACUACUUGGAUGCUGUGAAGUCUUGAUAUCUAAUGACAAUGGAUUAUACUGUGGAUUUAUAUCGUUCAUUUUGUGAUGUAUAGUUCUGUGAUAAUACAGUUGGACAAUUUUAAAUGAUGUUGUUCUGUUGUGUAUGAAAAUGUUUUAGGCUCAUGUCUUUUAUAUAAAACAUUUAAAACUGUU